CGAUUCAGAGGGACUGUCGCGGGUCGGGAAAGCCGGCGCGAGGAAAGUCGGGACAGCAUAGAGCACCGUACUUCUUAACAGGAAGGUAUCUGCGAGGAUAACUGCAAGUGCCACAGAAAUAUACCGCCCUGAGCUUGUCGAAGGGUAAGGGUGAAAACGCGAGGUAAAAGCUCACGCAUCGGGUGGUGACAUUCCGAUGAGGUAAACCAUACGGGCUGCAAAACCAUGUAUAGAGACGAUGGCUUCUCAGGAAGCCGGGAGGGUCGCUCGCCCGAGUCUUAGGGUAGGUCGCUUGAGCCAACGGGUGACUGUUGGCCUAGAGAAAUGACAGUCGCCCCGAAAGGGGAACAGAAUCCCGCUUACAACGCUGAACCGCAUC
rnacentral:RNase_P_RNA from 1 species